AUCGGACACUGCUCUGCACUUUGUUUCCAGAUACCUGCCUGAGCUCUCAGCCCCCGCCCGGACCCCGGUGCGUAGGCAGCCGGUCCUUCCUGCUCCUGUAAAUCCCUCCUGUUGAGGCUGACUUUUCGUGGCCCGGGUUAAUCGCGGUGCUGAGAGGCUGGUUGGGGUUUUGCUCCCCUGGAGGAAAGCGCACGGUGUGCUGAUGGCAGGCUGCCUGCUGAGCAGGGCAGGGUGUGCCUCCCCAGCUGCUGCUCCACGAUUAAUGCUGGAGUGACUUGUAUAUACAGAAGCAGGAAAGCGCAGAAUGAGGGGGUAUUGGAUAACACCAGUGGAAGUGAUCAGAAACUCCCUGGAGAAAAACAGAAACUUCUGAUGUGUGAAAUAAGGAGAACUGUUUGGAGGAAUGAUGUCUGCAGUUAAAUAUUUACUUUAUGACAUCAACAUGCUGCAGUUAAGAGGUACUUGAUGAAUAUAACUUACAAGCUGGGAUGACUCUAAUGCUUUCCACCUUGCUGGAGAUCUCAACAGAAAAUUCUGCAUUCUGAUUGUGUAUGUGCAUAAACACAGUGAAGAACUAAGAUAAGAAUAUUUUAGAAGAAAACAGUAUAGAUUGUUUAUUAUCUAGAUAAUACAAAGGUGACAAGAAUACUUAGCUGCUUCUUGUUGGAAGGCAGGAGAAACUACUAUUACUUCGUAAAGGACCUUCCAGCUUUGUGUCACUCCUGUCUACUCAACCCUCACCUGAGUUCCAAGCUGAGUGUCUCAGAGGGUGGUGCCAGAUGUGAAAUAGCUGCUGACAGCUCCAGUGCAAGGGCAUGAAUGUACAAGGACUCUGUGGUGCAUUUAAGUGUGAGUAAAAUACCUGCAUGCCGGUGUGGGAACUUCUUUUGUGUCAUAACAAGAGCUUUGUGUGAGGAAACUCUGCUGUACAAGUAGCAGGUAAUCUCCAUUGUGUUAUGCCAGGAUUGUUUAUCACUGUUAAUAGAAGGGGAAAAAGAUUUUUGGAAUUGUUCAUGUAUGCCUCCUGGGGUGUGGAUGUGACUCCAUCCCCUGGCCCUGCCCAUAUCCGAGGAGAAGGCUCCAGGUGUGGACUGGGAGUGAUGGAUCAGCCCCAUCCAAACUCUGCUGGAACUCACCCCUGCUCUGAAGAUGGAGGAGCAAUGCAGAACUCUGCUGGGAGAAGCCCUCAGAGCUUUAACACUCACCUAUGGUUAUCCAAAUGUUUCUGACAGUGCAGCUUUUAGCAAAAUAUUUGUAAGGGUCUUCUGUCUGUGUGUGUGCAGGUGUGGUGGAGGUUUUUCAAAACCAGGUGACACAAAACCACUAUAGCAGAUUUAUUAUUGAGAUGUAACAAAAAAAAAUAAAGUUGUUAUGCAUUGGGAAAACAGAACAGCACAGUCCAGCUUUAGAGAAGACUGUGACUUUGUCCUGUGUGUCCCUCUGAGCUCAGCCUGGGUUUCCAACUCUUAUUUUGAGGACUGGCAGUGAAAUCCCCACUUGGGGUGGCUCCACAGGUAAAUAGAUGUGUGAAAGCUUCUGCUAUAGAUAAUGACUAGAAGUGUGCUAUGCAGAUCAUAGAAAACAUAAAGAUAAGUGAAAAAGGGUGCAGCAAAUGUUUGAGAUAAAUAGAAUAUUUCCCGUGAAUAUGCAGUUUUUAGCAUGGCAGAGCAAUAAGUGCCUUUUGCAUGUAACUUUCCUACUUGUGAAGUAUUUUUUCAGGUAAAAUAGCUUUGAUUUAGCAAGCUGUGUGAUGAAGAUGCUCAGAAGGAUGGAACCAUCAAAUAAGACUAUUAGGUUGUGAGACUUCUACAUGUGAGACUUCUACAUGUGAGACUUCUACAUGUGAGACUUCUACAUGUGAGACUUCUACAUGUGAGACUUCUACAUGUGAGACUU